rnacentral:rRNA from 1 species
ACGAACGCUGGCGGCGUGCUUAACACAUGCAAGUCGAACGGAAAGGCCCUGCUUUUGUGGGGUGCUCGAGUGGCGAACGGGUGAGUAACACGUGAGUAACCUGCCCUUUACUUUGGGAUAACUUCAGGAAACUGGGGCUAAUACCGGAUAGGAGCUCCUGCUGCAUGGUGGGGGUUGGAAAGUUUCGGCGGUUGGGGAUGGACUCGCGGCUUAUCAGCUUGUUGGUGGGGUAGUGGCUUACCAAGGCUUUGACGGGUAGCCGGCCUGAGAGGGUGACCGGCCAGCAUUGGGCUGGGGUAAGGCCCAGGCUUGUACGGGAGGCAGCAGUGGGGAAUAAUGCACAAUGGGCGGAAGCCUGAUGCAGCAACGCCGCGUGCGGGAUGACGGCCUUCGGGUUGUACACCGAUUUCGCCUGUGACGAAGCGUGAGGGACGGUAAUGGGUAAAGAAGCACAGGCUAACUACGU